rnacentral:rRNA from 1 species
GAUGAACGCUGGCGGCGUGCCUAACACAUGCAAGUCGAGCGAUCUUCUUCGGAAGAGAGCGGCGGACGGGUGAGUAACGCGUGGGUAACCUGCCCUGUACACACGGAUAACAUACCGAAAGGUAUGCUAAUACGAGAUAAUAUACUUUUAUCGCAUGGUAGAAGUAUCAAAGCUCCGGCGGUACAGGAUGGACCCGCGUCUGAUUAGCUAGUUGGUAAGGUAACGGCUUACCAAGGCGACGAUCAGUAGCCGACCUGAGAGGGUGAUCGGCCACAUUGGAACUGAGACACGGUCCAAACUCCUACGGGAGGCAGCAGUGGGGAAUAUUGCACAAUGGGCGAAAGCCUGAUGCAGCAACGCCGCGUGAGCGAUGAAGGCCUUCGGGUCGUGAAGCUCUGUCCUCAAGGAAGAUAAUGACGGUACUUGAGGAGGAAGCCCCGGCUAACUACGUGCCAGCCGCCGCAGUAA